GCCUGCAAGAAAAUAGGAUAGGAAUUUUCCCGCGCUUGUGAUGACCAAUCAGCACGCGGCCCUGACCCACAUCCGGGUCCCACAUUCUCCCCAGCACGACUGCAAUGGCGGCAAGUUACGUCCUCACUUGACGAGAGCUCCGGCGCAACAGGUCUAGACUGAUGGUCAGAUCCUAACAGCAAAGAAGGAAAAACCUCUUCAAGAACAAGACAGACAGGCCAAGGAGACAGCCAAGACAGGACCAGGAUUGCGCUGAGCCAAGGCGGGAGCUCUUGCAGACGUAUUGUGCCUUACUUAAA